AUUAGUUUGAGUUGGGUCUCCUGGCACUUACCACAGCAGCCCUUCUCCCUCCCAUCCUACAGUCAGGGAUCUCUGUUCCUGGCGCAUCCAAACCCAUGGCAGCCACAGCACUGUUAACUGCCCUCUGUGACUAUGUACACUUGUCAGAGAUGGCAGAGAAAAAAAUGGAAAUAUCCUGGGCUCUUGGUGGCAUAACAGCUGAAAAAAAAACUGUGUAUCUACUUACCUCUAAACUUUUUGUGAAGUUAGAAAACAGCUAUUUAUAUCAUUUAAGCCACUGUUCAUCAGGCACCAUUACUUUAUUUUUUUUAUAUUUUUUAUUUUUAUUUUUUGACGAUAAUGUCAAGUUUAAUCUGCCAAAUAUACAAGUUGAACUUGUGGAACAUGUUUUGCCUGGGUGCCACACAGUAAACAGAGGUUUCUUGAAAUGAUCAAUGGGUAGGGUUAAAAAUGGGCACUGGCCUUAGCCAGGUGGGUAGGAACUGGGCAGGGAGGAGCAGAGAGGUGAGGCCUCGAUCAGACAGGACU
rnacentral:lncRNA from 1 species